CCUACGGGAGGCAGCAGUGAGGAAUAUUGGUCAAUGGGCUUACGCCUGAACCAGCCAAGUCGCGUGAGGGAAGACUGCCCUAUGGGUUGUAAACCUCUUUUGUCAGGGAGCAACGCCGGCUACGUGUAGCCGGACUGAGAGUACCUGAAGAAAAAGCAUCGGCUAACUCCGUGCCAGCAGCCGCGGUAAUACGGAGGAUGCGGGCGUUAUCCGGAUUUAUUGGGUUUAAAGGGUGCGUAGCCGGAAUGCCAAGUCAGCGGUAAAAUCGCGGGGCUCAACCUCGCUCCGCCGUUGAAACUGGCGUUCUUGAGUGGGCGAGAAGUAUGCGGAAUGCGUGGUGUAGCGGUGAAAUGCAUAGAUAUCACGAAGAACUCCGAUUGCGAAGGCAGCAUACCGGCGCCCAACUGACGCUGAAGCACGAAAGCGUGGGUAGCGAACAGGAUUAGAUACCCGAGUAGUC
rnacentral:rRNA from 1 species